CGCAUUUCUUCAUUGUUAACAAGUUUGUCUGAAUUUCAACCAACUGCUCUUGGAGGGUAUACCGUGAAAGUGCUCACUGUCACUGGUCGGCUUUGACAUGGAUGCUGCCCAAUGGAAAGGACCCCCAUGGGAGAUGAGUACUUACAGACAAAACCAGUCCGAAUGUUUCUGACAGGGCGGCACAAAGGAUUAAAGACAGAAACAGG
rnacentral:lncRNA from 1 species